rnacentral:rRNA from 1 species
CAACAGUUGGAAACGACUGCUAAUACCGCAUAAGCCCACGGCUCGGCAUCGAGCAGAGGGAAAAGGAGCAAUCCGCUUUGAGAUGGCCUCGCGUCCGAUUAGCUAGUUGGUGGGGUAACGGCCCACCAAGGCAACGAUCGGUAGCCGGACUGAGAGGUUGAACGGCCACAUUGGGACUGAGACACGGCCCAGACUCCUACGGGAGGCAGCAGUGGGGAAUAUUGCACAAUGGGGGAAACCCUGAUGCAGCGACGCCGCGUGGAGGAAGAAGGUCUUCGGAUUGUAAACUCCUGUUGUUGGGGAAGAUAAUGACGGUACCCAACAAGGAAGUGACGGCUAACUACGUGCCAGCAGCCGCGGUAAAACGUAGGUCACAAGCGUUGUCCGGAAUUACUGGGUGUAAAGGGAGCGCAGGCGGGAAGACAAGUUGGAAGUGAAAUCUAUGGGCUCAACCCAUAAACUGCUUUCAAAACUGUUUUUCUUGAGUAGUGCAGAGGUAGGCGGAAUUCCCGGUGUAGCGGUGGAAUGCGUAGAUAUCGGGAGGAACACCAGUGGCGAAGGCGGCCUACUGGGCACCAACUGACGCUGAGGCUCGAAAGUGUGGGUAGCAAACAGGAUUAGAUACCCUGGUAGUCCACACCGU